rnacentral:misc_RNA from 1 species
GAUGAAGAACGUAGCGAAAUGCGAUAAGUAAUGUGAAUUGCAGAAUUCAGUGAAUCAUCGAAUCUUUGAACGCACCUUGCGCCCUUUGGACAUUCCGAAGGGCAUGCCUGUUUGAGUAUCAUGAACACCUCAACUCUCACGGCUUGUCCGUGAUGAGCUUGGACUUUGGGGGUCUUGCCGGCCUGUGGUCGGCUCCUCUCAAAUGGAUCAGCUUGCCAGUGUUUGGUGGCAUCACAGGUAUGAUAACUAUCUGCGCUUGUGGUUUUCCAUCAGAUAACCUUCAGUGAUAUGGAGGUUCGCUGGAGCUCACAAAUGUCUCUCCUUAGUGAGGACAGCUCUUUGAACGUUUGAUCUCAAAUCAGGUAGGACUACCCGCUGAACUUAAGCAUAUCAAUAAGCGGAGGA